ACGGGGUGCAGCAGGCGCGAAAACUUUACAAUGCGGGAAACCGCGAUAAGGGGACACUGAGUGCCAGCAUAUUAUGUUGGCUGUCCACAUGUAUAAAAAUCAUGUGUUAGCAAGGGCCGGGCAAGACCGGUGCCAGCCGCCGCGGUAACACCGGCGGCCCGAGUGGUGAUCACUUUUAUUGGGUCUAAAGGGUCCGUAGCCGGUUUGAUCAGUCUUCUGGGAAAUCUGACAGCUCAACUGUUAGGCUUUCAGGGGAUACUGUUAGACUUGGGACCGGGAGAGGUAAGAGGUACUACAGGGGUAGGAGUGAAAUCUUGUAAUCCCUGUGGGACCACCAGUGGCGAAGGCGUCUUACCAGAACGGGUCCGACGGUGAGGGACGAAAGCUGGGGGCACGAACCGGAUUAGAUACCCGGGUAGUCCUAGCUGUAAACGAUGCUCGCUAGGUGUCAGACACGGUGCGACCGUGUUUGGUGCCGCAGGGAAGCCGUUAAGCGAGCCACUUGGAAGUACGUCG
rnacentral:rRNA from 1 species